rnacentral:rRNA from 1 species
UACCAGCACCCCGAGUGGUCGGGACGUUUAUUGGGCCUAAAGCAUCCGUAGCCGGUUCUACGAGUCUUCCGUUAAAUCCAACUGCUUAACAGGUGGGCUGCGGAAGAUAUCUAUAGAGCUAGGAGGCGGGAGAGGCAAGCGGUACUCGAUGGGUAGGGGUAAAAUCCGUUGAUCCAUUGAAGACCACCAGUGGCGAAGGCGGCUUGCCAGAACGCGCUCGACGGUGAGGGAUGAAAGCUGGGGGAGCAAACCGG